GAACGGGUGAGUAACACGUGGGUGAUCUGCCCUGCACUUUGGGAUAAGCCUGGGAAACUGGGUCUAAUACCGAAUAGGACCACGCGCUUCAUGGUGUGUGGUGGAAAGCUUUUGCGGUGUGGGAUGGGCCCGCGGCCUAUCAGCUUGUUGGUGGGGUAAUGGCCUACCAAGGCGACGACGGGUAGCCGGCCUGAGAGGGUGACCGGCCACACUGGGACUGAGAUACGGCCCAGACUCCUACGGGAGGCAGCAGUGGGGAAUAUUGCACAAUGGGCGCAAGCCUGAUGCAGCGACGCCGCGUGAGGGAUGACGGCCUUCGGGUUGUAAACCUCUUUCAAUAGGGACGAAGCGCAAGUGACGGUACCUAUAGAAGAAGCACCGGCCAACUACGUGCCAGCAGCCGCGGUAAUACGUAGGGUGCGAGCGUUGUCCGGAAUUACUGGGCGUAAAGAGCUCGUAGGUGGUUUGUCGCGUUGUUCGUGAAAACUCACAGCUUAACUGUGGGCGUGCGGGCGAUACGGGCAGACUAGAGUACUGCAGGGGAGACUGGAAUUCCUGGUGUAGCGGUGGAAUGCGCAGAUAUCAGGAGGAACACCGGUGGCGAAGGCGGGUCUCUGGGCAGUAACUGACGCUGAGGAGCGAAAGCGUGGGGAGCGAACAGGAUUAGAUACCCUGGUAGUCCACGCCGUANACGGUGGGUACUAGGUGUGGGUUCCUUCCUUGGGAUCCGUGCCGUAGCUAACGCAUUAAGUACCCCGCCUGGGGAGUACGGCCGCAAGGCUAANACUCAAAGGAAUUGACGGGGGCCCGCACAAGC
rnacentral:rRNA from 1 species